GAUGAACGCUGGCGGCGUGCUUAACACAUGCAAGUCGAGCGAAGCACUUGAAUUUGAUUCUUCGGAUGACGAUUCAUUUGACUGAGCGGCGGACAGGUGAGUAACGCGUGGGUAACCUGCCUCAUACAGGGGGAUAACAGUUAGAAAUGACUGCUAAUACCGCAUAAGACCACGGUGCCGCAUGGCACAGUGGUAAAAACUCCGGUGGUAUGAGAUGGACCCCGCGUCUGAUUAGCUAGUUGGUGGGGUAACGCUUACCAAGGCGACGAUCAGUAGCCGACCUGAGGGGU
rnacentral:rRNA from 1 species